UACGUAGGGUGCAAGCGUUAAUCGGAAUUACUGGGCGUAAAGCGUGCGCAGGCGGUUUUGUAAGUCUGACGUGAAAUCCCCGGGCUCAACCUGGGAACUGCAUUUGUGACUGCAUGGCUAGAGUACGGUAGAGGGGGAUGGAAUUCCGCGUGUAGCAGUGAAAUGCGUAGAUAUGCGGAGGAACACCGAUGGCGAAGGCAAUCCCCUGGACCUGUACUGACGCUCAUGCACGAAAGCGUGGGGAGCAAACAGG
rnacentral:rRNA from 1 species